rnacentral:rRNA from 1 species
UACGUAGGGUGCAAGCGUUAAUCGGAAUUACUGGGCGUAAAGCGUGCGCAGGCGGUGAUGUAAGACCGAUGUGAAAUCCCCGGGCUUAACCUGGGAACUGCAUUGGUGACUGCAUUGCUGGAGUAUGGCAGAGGGGGGUGGAAUUCCACGUGUAGCAGUGAAAUGCGUAGAGAUGUGGAGGAACACCGAUGGCGAAGGCAGCCCCUGGGCCAAUACUGACGCUCAUGCACGAAAGCGUGGGGAGCAAACAGG